GACGAACGCUGGCGGCGUGCUUAACACAUGCAAGUCGAACGGAAAGGCCCUGCUUUUGUGGGGUGCUCGAGUGGCGAACGGGUGAGUAACACGUGAGUAACCUGCCCUUGACUUUGGGAUAACUUCAGGAAACUGGGGCUAAUACCGGAUAGGAGCUCCUGCUGCAUGGUGGGGGUUGGAAAGUUUCGGCGGUUGGGGAUGGACUCGCGGCUUAUCAGCUUGUUGGUGGGGUAGUGGCUUACCAAGGCUUUGACGGGUAGCCGGCCUGAGAGGGUGACCGGCCACAUUGGGACUGAGAUACGGCACAGACUCCUACGGGAGGCAGCAGUCGGGAAUAUUGAACAAUGGGCGGAAGCCUGAUGCAGCAACGCCGCGUGCGGAAUGACGGCCUUCGGGUUGUAAACCGCUUUCGCCUGUGACGAAGCGUGAGUGACGGUAAUGGGUAAAGAAGCACCGGCUAACUACGUG
rnacentral:rRNA from 1 species